rnacentral:rRNA from 1 species
CCUACGGGAGGCAGCAGUGAGGAAUAUUGGUCAAUGGACGCAAGUCUGAACCAGCCAUGCCGCGUGCAGGAAGACGGCUCUAUGAGUUGUAAACUGCUUUUGUACGAGGGUAAACGCAGAUACGCGUAUCUGUCUGAAAGUAUCGUACGAAUAAGGAUCGGCUAACUCCGUGCCAGCAGCCGCGGUAAUACGGAGGAUUCAAGCGUUAUCCGGAUUUAUUGGGUUUAAAGGGUGCGUAGGCGGUCGGAUAAGUUAGAGGUGAAAUCCCGAGGCUCAACUUCGAGAUUGCCUCUGAUACUGUGCGGCUAGAGAGUAGUUGCGGUAGGCGGAAUGUAUGGUGUAGCGGUGAAAUGCUUAGAGAUCAUACAGAACACCGAUUGCGAAGGCAGCUUACAAAGCUACUUAUGACGUUGAGGCACGAAAGCGUGGGGAGAAAACAGGAUUAGAUACCCGGGUAGUC